AGCGGUGGAUUAUGUGGAUUAAUUCGAUGCAACGCGAAAAACCUUACCUACCCUUGACAUGCUAGGAAGUCCGCAGAGAUGUGGAUGUGCCCGAAAGGGAACCUAGACACAGGUGCUGCAUGGCUGUCGUCAGCUCGUGUCGUGAGAUGUUGGGUUAAGUCCCGCAACGAGCGCAACCCUUGCCAUUAGUUGCGACAUUUAGUUGAGCACUCUAAUGGGACCGCCGGUGACAAACCGGAGGAAGGUGGGGAUGACGUCAAGUCCUCAUGGCCCUUAUGGGUAGGGCUUCACACGUAAUACAAUGGUCGGUACAGAGGGCUGCCAACCCGCGAGGGGGAGCUAAUCCCAGAAAGCCGAUCGUAGUCCGGAUUGUAGUCUGCAACUCGACUGCAUGAAGCCGGAAUCGCUAGUAAUCGCGGAUCAGCAUGUCGCGGUGAAUACGUUCCCGGGUCUUGUACACACCGCCCGUCACACCAUGGGAGUGGGUUCCACCAGAAGUAGGUAGCCUAACCGCAAGGAGGGCGCUUACCACGGUGAGAUUCAUGACUGGGGUGAAGUCGUAACAAGGUAACC
rnacentral:rRNA from 1 species